CGGCGACGUGCGGCCUUCCCCGUCCGACUCCCCCGGCUGCGAGCCCUCCUGCCUUUUGUCCACCCUAAGGGAAACGUGCCCGUCGCCACCUCAGGCCCCCUUCAUUCGUGUACGCGUAGGGCUCAAGUUCAGUCUAAGCACACGCGGACGCCUCGGAGGGGACCGUAGCGCAGGCCCCGCGGCCUCCCCGACCCCGCGGCCGCCGGCGUUGUGCGUGCGUGCGGGGGCGCCGUGCGUGCCAGGGGCGGGCGCCGGCCGGAGCGCCGGGUCCCUGAGCGUCUCCGCGUCCGCGGCCUCGGGGUCGCCGCUGCUCUUCUGCGGUGCCGGGAAGAGACAGCGCUAAUCACCCAUUUGUGUGUGACAGUUAUUGUAUUCUUAAAUGCAUAACUCUUGGAGACGUUGGACGGUUACAGAAAAAACACACACUGCGCUAAUAUAUAUUAGGAAUAGAAAACAAGUCACCCUCCCAGCGAUGUGUCGCCAGUUUGGGAUGCUCUGACGCCCUGGCGCUGGCCGCGGAGCUCCUGCCCCGGACGGUCGUGUUGGGGCGGCGGUCCCCGCGGAGCGCGGGCGGCCCUUGAAGUAGCUCCUAGUUACGUUGUGAAGGAGGCGAACUGGAGGAGUAGCAGAUGAAGCAGUUGAUUCUCGAAGAGGUCAAGUAACUGCCCAAGUCACACAAGAUAACAGCAAACGAAGGCAAGAAAUUCAAGACCGAGAGAGGGCAAGUGAACAAGAAUUACAUCCUGGAUGGAAGAAAGUCCUAAAUAAUAUAAAUCUUGGAGGAGCCAGCCAUCCUAGACCAGAUUCCCAUAAAAAUCAAACCAGGAAGAAAUAAAGAAAAGAAGUUAAAGUUCAUUGCUGAAAAACCAUGUUUUUCUUUUAGCCCCUGGGGGAGGGGGUUAUUAUGUUAGUGUAGGAAUGGGAAUGGUCAAUUUUUCCCAGUAAGAACCUUUUGAUGUGUUACCACGACUCACGGGCUAUGACUCAUGUAUUACAACUCUCACUAGUAUCUUAUAAUAGUUUAUAUUCCUUAACAAGGAGAUAGAUGAAGCAGAGGGAUUACAUAAUUAUUUUCUUUUCAGUUUACACCUUGGAUUGGAUUGGAUAUGACAUGGUAAUUUCAGGAAGAGAAAUUUUUUCUCCCCCCUUUAAAGAAAAAAAAUCUGAUCACUUUCUUCAGUAAUUACAUUUUCAAAAUGCUUGUUAAAAUCAACCUCAGACCUGUUAUUGUCACACUUUGUAAAUUACUAUGUCAAAAAUUAAUUUUUCUAAGGCUAGGAAGAAGGUUAAAUUGAUACGAACCCCCCACCAAGAUAUCUUCACUGUCGUUAGUUAUACUAACAUACAUUUAUUAUCUAUUUUUGAAUUAUAUUUGUUAUUUUGAAUUAUGUUUAUCAAGAUUUAAAAAUCUAUCAGUUCAUCAAAAUGCAAUUAACUACACUACUUUCCUACCAACCACUUGUGUCAUCAACAGGAUCAAUCAAAUGUAAUAAAAACAUCAAGGCAGCAAUGCUAAUGCUAUUUUAAAUAAAUAUCAUUUAUUCCAUUUUAUUGAAGACUAAGCAUACCUAAUCACAAAUACUCUAAUCUGGGUCCAUUCAAGACCUACUGAACUUGGAAGACAGUUUCAACUUUGUCUAGAUUCUUUUUAAAUGUGUCCUGUUGAGUGUAUUCCUGAAGAAUAAAGGAGUUCAUGCACUAUUUUAGUUCAACUACCUUGAUGCCAUUAGGCCAGGCCUACCCUGACUUUGCAGGAUAUUGAAAUGAUGAUGAAGAUGAUGAUGAACAUAUAUUAUUGAUCUGAGUAAUGACAGUGCUUAGGCACUUUGCAUAUCUGCAUUUUAAUCCAUCCCACAACACUGCAAGUUUGAGGAAACAGCCCUAAAGAGGCGAAAUAAUGUGCCAAAGGUCACUCUGCUAGGGUUGAUGAGCUGGAGUCCCAAACCAGGUCAACCCCUUUCCAGCAUUGACAUGAUGCCUAGAUAAAUAUUCUGCCAAAUGAAAGGAUAAACUUAAUUUGAAGAAUUUUAACAAGGCACUUGAUUCAGGCCAAAAUUAUAAUUUGGAGGCCAAGUCAUUUAGAUUGGUACUCUGCGUUGGUUAACCUAACCAGUCAAUUUCUGUUUCACUGAGUGCCUGUGGAUUUGAGUCUCAAAGAAUAUGCACUUGGAAGAGUUAAGAGGAAAAAAGUUUGAGGCAUCUGUCUUCAAGAAAUUAUCCAAGGCUCACUUGGUGCUGUGGCUCUCCCCUGGAGCCAGCUAUGAAUCAGGACUUAAAUUAAUUUCUUUCUGCCCAGAAGUCUCAAGGCAGCGAUGUUCAGAAGGAGACUCCCGGGCACUAGGACAGCAACAAAAAUGGAAGAAACCUCGCCAGCUAGGUUCUCAAGUGAUGUCACCAAGUUUGUCAGCUUCGCCCAGAUUUCCCAGCUGUGGCCCCCACUGUGAUUGGACUGGGGUCCUGUGCUUCUGGCAGUCAUGUGAGUGUCCCGUGGCCAGAGCCUGACGUUGUCCUUCCAGGCAGGGACUCCAUGUAAGGCAAAAGAGACGCCUCUCAACCCAGCUGGGCUUUCAUUGAAGAGAAUCAAAACAAGAGGCUUAAGAUUCUGUUCCCAGGCCAGGAAUUAUGAGAGGCUGAAAGAUACUAUCCAAGAAAACGUAAGUUUCUUGUAAGGGAUUUAUAAAAUUUAUGUUUUAGGACACUUCAACAGAUGUUUCCAAUAGACCAAGUACCCACUCCCACCCUCCUCUUGCAAACAUGUUGGGGGCUGCCCUGUGCCGAGUGGUUAAGUUCACGCGCUCCACCUCAGCAGCAUAGGGUUCCGCUGGUUUGGAUCCUCGGUGCUGACAUGGCACCACUCAUGAAGCCAUGCUGAGGCGGCGGCCCACAUGCAGAACUAGAAGUACCUACAGCUAGAAUAUACAACCAUGUACUGGGGGACUUUGGGAAGAAGAAAAAAAAAAGAUUGGGAACAGAUAUUAUCUCAAUUUAAAAAAAAGAAAACAAAACAAAACACAUUGAAUCAAAGCACAGCAUACAUUCAGAAAGGGUAUAAAUCCCAAGUAUACAGCUCAAUAAAUUUUCACAAUGUGAGCCACUGGUGUAACAGGACCAAAUCAGGAAAUAAGACUGACCACUAACAGAAGGCCCUCCAGGACAACCACUCUCCUGACUUUAAUUGUUACAGAAUAGACUCGUUCUGCCUGUUUUUGUACUUUAUAUAAUUAGCAUAAAUUGUUGUGCCCUGUGAUGGUUAAUUUUAUAUGUCAACACGACUGGGCCGUGGGGUGACCAGACACUGGGUCUAACGUUAUUCCGGGUGCAUCUGUGAGGGUGCUUCCGGAUGAGAUUAACAUUUGCAUCAGUCGACUGAGGAAAGCAGAUUGCUCUCCUCAGCGUGAGUGGGCCUCACCCAAUCCAGUGAAGGCCUGAAUAGGACAAAAGGGCUGAGGAAGAGGGAACUCCUUCUGCCUGACUGCCUUUGAGCCAGGACUCAAAGUUUUUCCUGCUUUUGGACUUGAACUGAAACAUCAGCUCUCGUGGGCUCCAGCUUGCUGACUGCAGAUCUUGGAACUUGUCAGCCUCCAUGAUCACAUGAGCCAAUUCCAUAUAUACAUAUAAUAUAUAAGCAUAUUAUAUAUUUUAAGGCAUUUUUAAAAAAACAUUGUUGAAUUGAAUUUAUUGAAAUAACAGGCAUUUAGUUAUCACACAUAGUGAGACGUCUGGAUGCAGGUGGUUCCAGAGCUGCUCCAUCCAGGGCACUGGGUCAACUGCUCUGAGAGCUUCUGGUCUUUUCCUGUGGCUGGCAGGAACAACCCCCCGCAGCAAAUGUCAAAGGAAGGAAGCAGCGAUAACUUGGCUAAUGAGAGACAUCAUUCAUGUAUAUAUAUACAUAGACAUUCGCACAGAGUCACACGUCACUCAAUGACGGGGACACGUUCUGGGAAAUGCAUCAUUGGGUGAUUUCAUCAUUGUGCAAACAUCAUAGGGUGCACUUACACAAGGCUGGAUGGCCUAGCCUACUACACACCUAGGCUGUAUGGUACUAAUCUUAUGGGACCACCAUCGUACAUGUGGUCUGUCAUGACCAAAAUGUCUUUGUGUGUCAUGUCACUGACUAAUUAUUAGUCACUGACUAAUACAUACCCUACUUGCUUUUGCAAUAUAUUUGCUUAAUGUAAUGAACAAAGUCUGUGUUAAUUAACAAACUUGAAUUGAGUAUGUGGAGUCUUUAUCUGGCAUCUGUCAUGUCUUAUAAAUGAAAUGUUUAUUUUUCCUAUUGUAUUUCUUCUUGAAUUAUAAUAUUGAUGAAAUGGAAGCCUCCGGAGGACUGCGUAUCCUGUUUUCAAUGUAGCUGAGAUGGCAGAAUUCACAUCUCCCCAAAUGAGGACAGUUACAAACGAUGGAAUGAGGCUUGACUGGCGCUGCUCCACCUGCACCUGGCUGCACGGUCAGCAGGCACCUGUGUUGCCCGCAGCCACAAAGGGCAAGGAAUGACAGGCCCAGAGUUCCCUAGGAUGGAGCGGCUGUGGAUGGUGGCAUGCAUCUGGAAACUGCACUCUAAACCAGGCCUAGGCUCUGUCUGAGGCUGCCCAGAACUUUCCUGGUGGCCUGAGAGCAGCUGCAGAUGGACAGGCCCGGCAGGAGUUGCACAGAGAACAUCCCUACAGUGAAUCUUUGCCCAGAGGAGCCUGAGCACAGGAUGCCAGGGCAGCGCCUUGUGGGGUCUUGAGAUGGGGGAACCGCGAGCAAGAGCGGGACGCGAGGCAAAAUAAAAGGCGUAGCAGAGCCCGCCGCCAGGGACGUCAUUCGCUGGGCGGCCAUCAUGAAGUAUCAGACUGCCGGGCUGAAACGCGUGUUUCCUCCGUCUGGAGGCUCGGAGUGCGAGACCCAGGCGGCGCAGGUUUGGUUUCUCCAAGGCCCAUCUCCUGGGUUGCAGAUGGCCGCCUGCUCCGCGUGUCCUCACGUGGUCUUCCUUCUGUGUCUGUCUGUCCCCAUCUUCUUAUAAGGACACGUCGGAUUAGGACCCACCCUCAUGACCUCAUUUUAACCUACUUACCUCUCUCGGCCCUACCUUCAGAUAGAGUCACACUCUGAGGUUCUAGGGGUUAGGACUCAACAUGCGAGUCUGGCGGGGACACGGCUCACCCCAGAACCACCAGCUAGAGUCAGGAAGCCUGUGAGUUGGUGCGCGCGGGGGACCCGCGGCCGCGGCCCGGAACCCGCACCUGCCCACGCAGGCCCGGCGGCCGGCUGGAGACCCCCGCGGGCCAGCGUGAUCAUCCGGAGCGCCGGGCGCGGGCUCGUGGGGAGCCGCGGGGCCGCCUCCUCUCUUCGUGGGGCUGCUGCACACGGUCUCUCAGCGCCUCGGGCCCGUCCCCGCACCUGCGAGCCUGCGGGGGCGCCCUGGAG
ensembl:lncRNA